UCCGUAGUAAACUGUGAUAUGUAGUCGA
rnacentral:piRNA from 1 species